rfam:Picea glauca, whole genome shotgun sequence.
GAAAUGGUUUUAUUUAAAACCAUAUUUCAUAUCCUAUGCCAUUUUA